ACUCCUAUAAAUAGGGGAAAGCGCACCCCUUUUCUUCGCCUCCUAUACCUCCUCCCCUUCUUGUUCUAGGGUUUUGCCCCGGCUUAGGGUUCCGCCGGGCCGCCGUUUUCUCCUUCUAAACAACCCAUUUUCUCGAUUCGGGGCUUCUGAUUUGAGACUUGAGAGAUUUUAGAUCUUGAUUCUUUGUAGAAGUCUUGCACGAAGCACCCCGGGCUUUGCUGAAGAACUCCGUGACGACGGAAGCCCCAAUGCUCGUGCCAGAUGGAUUCGCCGUUCCGUGUUGCAGUUCUGUUCACGAAUUCCUACGACCGAUCUGUGUCAAUGUAACGGCUAAACUUUAGUUUUUUAUGAUGUUUCUUUCCAUCUGUUUGUUAUCGUUUGCCUCUCCACACCUUUAGCUUUUUGAGGUUUCGUUCCCCAAUGAGCCUAGUCAUGGAGGCAUACAGCGAGAACGGCGGGGUGAACGUGGAGGCUUACUCUUUUUUCCAUGGUUUUGCCUCUAAAAUCUCUCGCCACAACUAGAUGCCGAUCAAAAGCUUGGAAAUUUGUAUUUGUUCGCCAAUAUCACGCGAUGAGCUAAGAGAGUUCCGAAACCCUUUUUUAUUUUUUCCCUUCAAGUGGAUAUUGUUUGUCGCCUCUAUAAUUUUCUCUAGUGUCUAAGUUGGCUGGGGAUGGUAUUUUUGCUAUCAGGAUACGAGGGAAAAAAUUGGAUUGAGUCUUCCUUUUUUUUGGAGGGGUACUAUAUUUUUCACUUAAAAUGCUCUACUCUUGGCAAUGGAUAUAACCUACCAGCGCUUCUGAUAAUUGUGCAUGAAGCAUAUGAAAAGAAUGGUUGAUUUCCUUGACAUGAGCUGAUGCAUAUCUUUUCAGGAUUUGCUUAUAAUUUUCUAGAAAAAAAUUAAAUGCUAGGAUAAUGCGGUAUUCUAUUCUUCUAUUUGUUUUAGACUCAUCGUGAUGCAUUGUCUGUGAUGAAAAUCUAGACAGCUUCAAAAACGCCAGUUCUGCUUCAGAACGAUGGAGGAAGCUGUUCUGUGCUUCGGUACAUUUUGGAUUAUCAUUGUUUUUUCUAGUUUUUCACCUAGGAUGGUUGUUUUUUUGUUUUUCUCACAUCCAUUUAUUUGAACUAACUUUAGCGGUCUCUGAUAGUUGUUUUUCUCCCAGCUGCCUAUGAUGAUAUCUCCAAGUUUAUGAGAUGUAAAUAGCUUCAAGUCCCUGUUUUACAGGGAGAACCUACUUGGAACUCCUACAUUCAAUGACAUCAGUGGACUUUUCUGAGGCAUUGUUUCUUUUUUGAUCAUGAUGUUAUCUUGAUAUGUAUGAAUUAUAGUGAUUAACAAAGUACGUUCGGGCUGUUUCUAAACUCUUAUUUCUUUUAUGUAUUUAAUGUACGGUUUUUUUUUAAUGAAAAAUAUUGAGGAGUGAUUUCAGCUGGACGUGAUGGUAGAAGCAUUAGCCUUUUUUGCUUUUUAAACACUCACUUUGAAGUGUAUAUCUUGUACAUAAGUAUUUGGUUGUUGAAUGGUAAGCCUUUUUUGUGAAACACAAAACAUUUAGCUUUUUGCCACCGCCAAUGAUUAUUUGUCUGCAAAAUGGAUGUGUUGUGGAACCAAGUCCCUGCUUGCAGGGAGAACCUACUUGGGGAGGCAGCAGUUAACAUGACAUCAACAGAUACUUCUGAGGCAUAGAGAUUUAUAUGUUCAGCCUUUGAAUUUUCUUGAUUUUUCUUUCACUGUUAAGAAAUUAUUGGUGAUGCUACUCGCUAGCUAUGUCUGUAAUUCUUAUGUACACUAUUUAUACAAACACACUACAUGUAAUGAAUCCCCAACUUACCCAGAACUAAAUCCCCAACUCAAGUUUUAGCUUGGUCUGCAUGUAAUGAAUGUAAUUUCAAACAGCAACUAGGUAAACAAUGAAAAAAAUAUUAUGGCAAUUAAAUUAUGUUGUCUCCCUUCCCUAUUCUCUUUUGUGGCCUAAGCCUUUUUACAACAUUAUGUUACCUGAUUUAUUUGUACCUACAUGUGUAUGUAUCUGAGUUUAACUAUCCUCUUGCUACACUGCACAAUUGGCAUGUAGGAACUGAUGAACUCAGAAAUGGAGUGUGGUCAUCAGCUUCCUUUCUUAUCAUAUGAGAUUAGGGCUGAAUAACAGCAGCAGAACAUUUUAUAUUUUUAUAUGUUCUUGCAUGUUAUAAGCCGCUGUAUAGUCAUCCUUCUUCUUUAUUCUGUGGUAUGUUGAAUUACACUUUUCCAUUCUUUAAGAGGCUUGAGAAGUUAGAAUGUUCUGCAAGUAACAUGCUGACAUCAAUUAUUGGCUCUAUGGGGCAUCAUAAUUCAGCUCUUUACAAUGUUACAAUCUAAGUAUUUUGGUUGAGAUGCAAUGGAAAUAACCAUGCAAGUAUUGUUGAAAAUUACAGGUGCAAUCCCUUCCCAAUCAGCUAGCUACAGUUGCAAGACAUAUGAGGAUUGUGUAUGUGCAUCUUAUCAUGAUUGAACCCAAGUAAAAGCUUAGGCUACAUGUUCCACAGCAUUCUGUCUUUUACUGAUAUGGAACUUUUUAGAUUAUUUUAAACUCAAUAUCUUCAAAUAAUUGGGAUUUUGCUGCUUCCUAUGUAAAAUUUAUUUACAAUAAUUUGUGGUGCUACCAAGAUUGAUAAGGUUUUGAAACAAUAAUAUUUGAUAAUUAAUCUUUUUGCUUCUUGAGUUACAAAAAUAUAGCAAUUAUUCUUUCUUGUAUUUUGCGUUUAACUAAUCAUAGGACAUGUUUCUUCUAUUUGGCUAUAGCUGAUAUUGGAGGUUCUAUAUUGUUCCCAUGUCUAAGUAAAUCUUUUCAUUCUGAGGUUAUCAUUGGACUAACAUGUCAACACUUCAGCUUUUUUGUUUCUCUACAUUUUUUUGGUGGAGCUCAUUGAUGGAAUAUGUGAACCUUAUUGUUUUGUUGUAUGCUUUAUUGGUCUCGUUCUCUAUGAUCUCUCUCUCUCUCUCUCUCUCUCUCUCACAGUAUAGAGUUUAUCCCUUAUUUUCCCUCUUGAUUUUUGGGUUUUUCUUCGUAUUCUCCUGAUAUUAUGUGGUUGAUUUUAUAAUGGUGGUUAGGAUUUCCGCUACAUGUACCAAGGUUGGGGUUUUGGGUUGCCCUGGUCUUGAAGUUGCCGGAUCUGGCUGUAGCUAUAUGAAUCAAGGGAAGAGGGAAGAAAACUGGUCGGCUUGUCCUCCUUAUUGUUGGCAACCCGCUUACCAAGCUUCCCACAUUAAUCUGUUGUAAAACGUAGCUUCCUAUUUUAUUCUUUUUUAUUUUUUGUGAGGAGGGUAGAAGAGGGAGAUGGUGCAUGUGUUAGCCAUUUUUAGAGGACCUUCUCACACAUCAAGAGCUAUCCAUUUUCUUUGAUUUUUUAAUGUUUUUAUCAAUUUUUUAAAGUGAUGAUAGCUCGGCCAUUAUCCAGGCAAGCUGCUUUUUAAUUGCUGCAGAUUGUGUCAUCGAUGCCUACAUCUGAGUCUUAUUUUCUUUUAA